AUUGAACGCUGGCGGCAGGCCUAACACAUGCAAGUCGAGCGGAUGAAGGGAGCUUGCUCCUGGAUUCAGCGGCGGACGGGUGAGUAAUGCCUAGGAAUCUGCCUGGUAGUGGGGGAUAACGUCCGGAAACGGGCGCUAAUACCGCAUACGUCCUGAGGGAGAAAGUGGGGGAUCUUCGGACAUCACGCUAUCAGAUGAGCCUAGGUCGGAUUAGCUAGUUGGUGGGGUAAAGGCCUACCAAGGCGACGAUCCGUAACUGGUCUGAGAGGAUGAUCAGUCACACUGGAACUGAGCCACGGUCCAGACUCCUACGGGAGGCAGCAGUGGGGAAUAUUGGACAAUGGGCGAAAGCCUGAUCCAGCCAUGCCGCGUGUGUGAAGAAGGUCUUCGGAUUGUAAAGCACUUUAAGUUGGGAGGAAGGGCAGUAAGUUAAUACCUUGCUGUUUUGACGUUACCAACAGAAUAAGCACCGGCUAACUUCGUG
rnacentral:rRNA from 1 species